GGCCUUAUAUUCAAUAUAUGAUUUUGGAUUGCAAAUCUGAAGGUGAGACUUAAACUUCUAAGGCUU
rnacentral:tRNA from 1 species